AGUGAACGCUGGCGGUAGGCCUAACACAUGCAAGUCGAACGGCAGCACAGUAAGAGCUUGCUCUUACGGGUGGCGAGUGGCGGACGGGUGAGGAAUACAUCGGAAUCUACUUUUUCGUGGGGGAUAACGUAGGGAAACUUACGCUAAUACCGCAUACGACCUACGGGUGAAAGCAGGGGAUCUUCGGACCUUGCGCGAUUGAAUGAGCCGAUGUCGGAUUAGCUAGUUGGCGGGGUAAAGGCUCACCAAGGCGACGAUCCGUAGCUGGUCUGAGAGGAUGAUCAGCCACACUGGAACUGAGACACGGUCCAGACUCCUACGGGAGGCAGCAGUGGGGAAUAUUGGACAAUGGGCGCAAGCCUGAUCCAGCCAUACCGCGUGGGUGAAGAAGGCCUUCGGGUUGUAAAGCCCUUUUGUUGGGAAAGAAAAGCAGCAGGUUAAUACCCCGCUGCUCUGACGGUACCCAAAGAAUAAGCACCGGCUAACUUCGUG
rnacentral:rRNA from 1 species